AUUGAACGCUGGCGGCAUGCUUUACACAUGCAAGUCGAACGGUAACAGGCCUUCGGGUGCUGACGAGUGGCGCACGGGUGCGUAAUGCAUCGGAACGUACCCAGAGGUGGGGGAUAACGCAGCGAAAGCUGUGCUAAUACCGCAUGUGAUCUGAGGAUGAAAGCGGGGGACCGAGCAGCAAUGUUUGGCCUCGCGCCUUUGGAGCGGCCGAUGUCGGAUUAGCUAGUUGGUGGGGUAAAGGCCUACCAAGGCGACGAUCCGUAGCUGGUCUGAGAGGACGACCAGCCACACUGGAACUGAGACACGGCCCAGACUCCUACGGGAGGCAGCAGUGGGGAAUUUUGGACAAUGGGCGCAAGCCUGAUCCAGCAAUGCCGCGUGCGGGAAGAAGGCCUUCGGGUUGUAAACCGCUUUUGGCAGGAACGAAACGGUGUCCGCUAAUACCGGGCGCUAAUGACGGUACCUGCAGAAUAAGCACCGGCUAACUACGUG
rnacentral:rRNA from 1 species